AUUGAGGACAUGCAGAAAGUAAAGGAAGAGAUGGAAAAACUGAAAGGGGAGGCACAAGCCGACAAGGAUCACAUGCUACAGUAUAAAGAAAUAGCACAAGUGAAUGAAGUUGCAUUGAAGCAAAUUGAAUCUGCUCAUGAAAAAUUCAAGGCUGAGGCUGACAAGCUAAAGAAGUCAUUGGAAGAUGAAAUUCAUUUACUCAAGGGAAGGGUUUCAAAACUUUAAAGUGAUCUUGUGUCAAAGUCCACAGAAGUUAUAUCUAUAGUUUCAAGGAAAGAAGAAGCUCUAUCUUCUCUAUUUGUUGAAAUUGACCGUCUGAAGGAAGAAAAUUUUGUAAAAACGUCUCAGAGAGUGGAAUUGGAAAUUCAGAUCUCUUCUUUGAAGGAAGAUCUUGAAAAGGAGAAUCUACAUUGGCGUACUAGCUAAAGCAAUUAUCAAAGGCAGGU